GCUGGAGGGUUCCCGUGGUGCGUGGUCCAGUGCACACACGUGUGGCCGCCGCCGGCAUUGGCACGCGGUUUCGUGUGAAGGGGUUCCCGGGGGUUCUCCGGGCCGGUGCCCCGCCUCAGCUGGUGCCUAGCAGCCGGCUUAGAACUGGUGCAGACCAGGGGAAUCCGACUGUUCAAUUAAAACAAAGCAUCGCGAAGGCCCACGGCGGGUGUUGACGCGAUGUGAUUUCUGCCCAGUGCUCUGAAUGUCAAAGUGAAGAAAUUCAAUGAAGCACGGGUAAACGGCGGGAGUAACUAUGACUCUCUUAAAUCUCAUGGAUUUUAUAUCAAACCGACUAAGGACUCAUAUACAAUCAAUGAUUGUCCAACUUGGAAUAUAAAUGGCACGCCACUGAAUAUGAUCAAACCUGGGAAAACUGAGGAAUAUCUGGGUCUCCACAUUGAUCCAUGAGUUGGUAUAUCUAAACCCGUAUUACAUAUGAAAAUUGAAGAUUGGCUCCAACGGAUUGGGAGGGCUCCUUUAAAGCCGUUUCAGAAGGUUGACAUCUUGAAAGGGUAUACCAUUCCUCGCUUGAUCUAUCUGGCAGAUCAGGCUGACGUGAAAGUCACAUAUCUUGAAUCCCUUGACCUGAUUAUACAAACUACGGUCAAGGAGUGGCUACAUCUACCAGCCAGCACUUGCGACGCCAUACUCUAUUCCAGCACUCGAGAUGGUGGAUUGGGGAUUGUGAGACUCGUGGGCCUGAUCCCGAGUGUCCAGGCCUGAAGACUGCAUAGAACAAAGUAGUCAUCGGAUGAACUAGUUCGAUCUGUCGUCCAAGAAGAGACGGCAUAGAGCGAGAAUUUGAGAAACUAUGGGUUACAGCUGGAAGAAAAGUGGAUAAAAUUCCAUCGAUUUGGGACCCAGGGACAGUCUUGGUAAUAUCAGAGGAAGUGGGUGGUGAGGAACCAGCCUCGGAAUGGGAGAUAGCCGCUCCGAAAGCCAUCUUUCCGAGACCUUGCGACUGGAGAAAACAAGAAUUUGUGAACUGGACCAAACUCUUAUCCCAGGGCUGUGGUAUUUCCAGCUUUGAAAAAGACAAAAUCAGUAACAGCUGGCUAGAAUUUUAUAGGGGCAUUAUGCACAGAAAACUAAUCACUGCAUUACAACUAAGAGCAAACGUCUGCCCUACAAGGGAAUUCUUAGUGAGAGGCAGACAAGAACUACAAAUUAAAGCGUGCCGACAUUGUCUGGCAGAAAAUGAAUCCUGUUCCCAUAUUAUAGGCUAUUGUCCCGCGGUACAAGACACAAGGACAAAGCGGCAUAAUCAACUCUGUGGAACUUUGGCAAAUGAAGCCAAAAAUAAAAACUGGAUUGUAUUUAAUGAACCAGUACUCAAAAAUGAGCAAAAUGAGUUGUACAAACCAGACCUAAUAUUUGUCAAGGAAAAUCAGGCUAUGGUGGUAGAUAUAACAAUAAGGUAUGAAAGCAAAAUCACUUCCGUUGUAGAUGCGGCCAAUAAAAAAGUUAAAAAGUACGAACCUUUAAAAAUACAAAUUCAAGAUCUGACUAAUUGUGAGAAUAUAAAAUUUUAUGGCUUUCCUGUUGGUGCAUGCGGAAAAUGGCAUCAAGGCAACUAUCAAUUAUUAACUUAAUUGAGACUCUCCUCAUCCCGACGGGAGAAAGUAGCUCGACAAAUGUCAAAUCGAGCGUUGUUUACAUCUGUAGAUAUUAUGCAUAUAUUUAUGAGCAAAUCGAGAAGCGUCGUGAGAUCAUAAUUGUAAUGAUAUUUUAUGAAUUGGGAAUAAAGUUAUUUAUUGUCUAUUUAUUAAAGGGAACAAGAGCGGAGGUCGAGGCCCCGGAGGCGACUUCGACACAAUGUUAACAUCCUGGUACGAUGGUCUAAACUAUGAUCUAUUAGUGGGUGAACGAUAUUUUUAUGGUAUUGUAAAUUUUAUUAACAUCAAAGAUAGUAUGUAGGGAUAUCUCUGGAAUCGGAAUCAUGGCAUGUCACUUAACAACAAUUUGACACUAAAAUAUUGGUCUGACUUUAUACUGAAUUUGACACUAAAUUACUGGUUUUGUCCAAGGUGUACGGGCCACCUAUACUUAACCCGGAAAAGGACCAUGUAUAAAUUAUAUAUGUUCAAUAAAUAACCAAAUGCCUCGUCAUCUAAUUAGUGACGCGCAUGAAUGGAUGAAUGAGAUUCCCACUGUCCCUACCUACUACCAGCGAAACCACCGCCAAGGGAACGGGCUUGGCAGAAUCA
rnacentral:ncRNA from 1 species